rnacentral:rRNA from 1 species
AACGAACGCUGGCGGCAUGCCUAACACAUGCAAGUCGAACGAGACCUUCGGGUCUAGUGGCGUACGGGUGCGUCACGCGUGGGAACCUGCCCUUAGGUUCGGAAUAACUCCCCGAAAGGGGUGCUAAUACCGGACAAUGUCUUCGGACCAAAGAUUUAUCGCCCUUGGAUGGGCCCGCGUUGGAUUAGCUAGUUGGUAGGGUAAAAGCCUACUACGGCGACGAUUCAUAGCUGGUCUGAGAGGAUGAUCAGCCACACUGGGACGAGGACGCGGCCCAGACUCUUACGGGAGGCAGCAGUGGGGAAUAUUGGACAGUGGGCGGAAGCCUGAUGCAGCAAGGACGGGUGAGUGAUGAAGGUCUUAGAGUUGUAAAGCGCUUUUACCCGGGAUGAUAAUGACAGUACCGGGAGAAUAAGCCACGGCUAACUACGUG